GACGAACGCUGGCGGCGUGCUUAACACAUGCAAGUCGUACGGUAAGGCCCUUUCGGGGGUACACGAGUGGCGAACGGGUGAGUAACACGUGAGUAACCUGCCCACAACUUUGGGAUAACGCUAGGAAACUGGUGCUAAUACUGGAUAUGUUCUCCUGCUGCAUGGUGGGGGUUGGAAAGCUCCGGCGGUUGUGGAUGGACUCGCGGCCUAUCAGCUUGUUGGUGGGGUAGUGGCCUACCAAGGCGGCGACGGGUAGCCGGCCUGAGAGGGUGACCGGCCACAUUGGGACUGAGAUACGGCCCAGACUCCUACGGGAGGCAGCAGUGGGGAAUAUUGCACAAUGGGCGCAAGCCUGAUGCAGCAACGCCGCGUGCGGGAGGACGGCCUUCGGGUUGGAAACCGCUUUCAGCAGGGACGAAGCUUUUUGUGACGGUACCUGCAGAAGAAGCACCGGCUAACUACGUG
rnacentral:rRNA from 1 species